rnacentral:rRNA from 1 species
UACGUAGGGUGCAAGCGUUGUCCGGAAUUACUGGGCGUAAAGAGCUCGUAGGUGGUUUGUCGCGUUGUUCGUGAAAACUCACAGCUCAACUGUGGGCGUGCGGGCGAUACGGGCAGACUAGAGUACUGCAGGGGAGACUGGAAUUCCUGGUGUGGCGGUGAAAUGCGCAGAUAUCAGGAGGAACACCGGUGGCGAAGGCGGGUCGUCUGGCAGGUAACUGGACGCUGAGGCGACGAAAGCGUGGGGAGCAAACAGG